CAGUCGAGCGAAGCAGUUAAGAAGAUUCUUCGGAUGAAACUUGAUUGACUCACUUGGAGGACGGGUGAGUAACGCGUGGGUGACCUGCCCCAUACCGGGGGAUAACAGCUGGAAACGGCUGCUAAUACCGCAUAAGCGCACAGAGCCGCAUGGCUCGGUGUGAAAAACUCCGGUGGUAUGGGAUGGGCCCGCGUCUGAUUAGGCAGUUGGCGGGGUAACGGCCCACCAAACCGACGAUCAGUAGCCGGCCUGAGAGGGCGACCGGCCACAUUGGGACUGAGACACGGCCCAAACUCCUACGGGAGGCAGCAGUGGGGAAUAUUGCACAAUGGGGGAAACCCUGAUGCAGCGACGCCGCGUGAGCGAAGAAGUAUUUCGGUAUGUAAAGCUCUAUCAGCAGGGAAGAUAAUGACGGUACCUGACUAAGAAGCUCCGGCUAAAUACGUGCCAGCAGCCGCGGUAAUACGUAUGGAGCAAGCGUUAUCCGGAUUUACUGGGUGUAAAGGGAGUGUAGGUGGUAUCACAAGUCAGAAGUGAAAGCCCGGGGCUCAACCCCGGGACUGCUUUUGAAACUGUGGAACUGGAGUGCAGGAGAGGUAAGUGGAAUUCCUAGUGUAGCGGUGAAAUGCGUAGAUAUUAGGAGGAACACCAGUGGCGAAGGCGGCUUACUGGACUGUAACUGACACUGAGGCUCGAAAGCGUGGGGAG
rnacentral:rRNA from 1 species